UGCCUAACAAUGCAAGUCGAACGAGAAAGUGGAGCAAUCCAUGAGUAAAGUGGCGACCGGGUGAGUAACACGUGACUAACCUACCUCCGAGUGGGGAAUAACUCCGGGAAACCGGGGCUAAUACCGCAUAACAUCGCAAGAUCAAAGCAGCAAUGCGCUUGGAGAGGGGGUCGCGGCUGAUUAGCUCGUUGGCGGGGUAACGGCCCACCAAGGCGAAGAUCGGUAUCCGGCCUGAGAGGGCGCACGGACACACUGGAACUGAAACACGGUCCAGACUCCUACGGGAGGCAGCAGUGGGGAAUUUUGCGCAAUGGGGGAAACCCUGACGCAGCAACGCCGCGUGGAGGAUGAAGCCCUUUGGGGCGUAAACUCCUUUCGACUCGGACGAUAAUGACGGUACGAGUGGAAGAAGCACCGGCUAACUCUGUGCCAGCAGCCGCGGUAAUACAGAGGGUGCGAGCGUUGUUCGGAAUUAUUGGGCGUAAAGGGCGCGUANGCGGUGCGGUAAGUCAACUGUGAAAUCUC
rnacentral:rRNA from 1 species